GCCAGGUGUGGUAGUCCACACCUGGAGUCCCAUCUGCUUGGGAGGCUGAGGCCAGGAGCAUAGCUUGAGCUCCUGAGUUCUGGGCUGUACUGUGAUAUGCCAAUUGGGUGUCCACAUUAAGUUCAGUGUCACUAUGGAGACCUCCCAGGAACAGGCAACCACCAGGUUGCCUAAGGAGGGGUGAACCAGCUCAUGUUGGAAAUGGAGCAGGUCAAAACUCCUGUGCUGACCAGUGGUGGGAUCACAUGUGUGAACAGUCAGUGCACUCCAGCCUGGGUAACACAGAAAGACCCCUUUCUCU
ensembl:misc_RNA Metazoa_SRP Metazoan signal recognition particle RNA